rnacentral:misc_RNA from 1 species
UCGAGUUUUGACUGGGUUGUAGCUGGCCUUCCGAGGCAUGUGCACGCCCUGCUCAUCCACUCUACACCUGUGCACUUACUGUGGGUUUCAGAUGGCGUAGUGAGCCUUUACGGGCUUGUGAAAGCAUCUGUGCCUGCGUUUAUUAUAAACUCUUAUAAGUAACAGAAUGUGUAUUGCGAUGUAACGCAUCUAUAUA